rnacentral:lncRNA from 1 species
CAGAUGCAUCCCUGUCCACCCUGCACCCAGGGAGGACACCCAUCGGGGACCCUGCGUGUGCCUCCCACUCUGGGCAGCCAUGUCCCCCCGCAGAGCCUGGCCUCGUCGCCCAGGACGUCCCCACCACCGUGGCCCGGCUCUGCCACAUGAGGUUCUGAGGUCUGCAGCGUGGGCACCAGGUCUAGACCACAGCCCCCGAGGCUGCAUGAGCUGUGCCUCAGUUUCCCCAUCUGUGGGCUGGGGGUUAGAGUGGUCCCUCCCUCGUGGGUGUUUGAGGACGGAGCCACACAGUGUGCGUGCAGGUCCUGGGGUGGCCGUUCCCAUGCCAUCCCCCGUGCAGGAGGUGGCCUGAUUUCUGACCCCGUUCCCACCCGGAGGUUCUCAGCAUCAGGUCCCAAGAGGUCAUUCGCGGGCAUGGCCUGUGGUCAUCUGGGGGGGAACAGGCCCCUCGUCCUGGGCGCCCACCCCAUUUUUAUCUGAAGGAUCGUUUUCAAUUCAUGUUUUCACUGCCCAGACACCACUUGGAGACUCACCUGGCCCCAUCCCCCAGGGGACAGCAGCACCGCGCGCCCAGGAUGGCGGGGUUGCGGAACAGGCCACACGUGUGUGUCCUGCGGCCUGGUGCAUCAGGGACUGAGCUCCUCGUCCUCGGAGGGGUCCAGGCAGCCACUGGUGAGGACGCGGUGGACACCUGGAGCAGGACAGGCCAUCCGUCCGCGAUGCCCCCAGCACUCGAGCUCCCCACCCCCAGCACGGCUGGCAGAGGAAGGAGGGCCCUCUCCAGUCUCGGGUCUCGGGUCUCAGGUCCCCAUCUCCGUCAGGGGGGCCUCACCGGGCAGCCGCCCUCCCUGCCAGGUGUCUCCCCGCCCAGGCCCCCAGGACUUGGGUCCUUGCACCCGCCCUACGCACACGUGUUCCCCGUUCCCGUGAAGCUCGUGCCCGCAGCUGGUGGGAGGAGCCCAGCCCCCGGGGUAGCACACCGGCCCCGUUGUGCUUAAAGACCUGAGCAGGCGCCGCAGAAGGGAGUGGCCCGGGGCCCGCGGGCUCGCAGCCCGUCCGCGCUCUGGGCCCAGCCUGGUCCGUGCUGGGCCUUGGGGCGGCAGGCUGAGUCCCCGACUCCACCACAGCCUCUGCGGAGGCCUCCCAGGGUUCCCAUCCUCGGGCCCCAGCGUGUUGGUGGGGGUGGAGGGGGGUGCUCGUCGUCGAGCCGGUGGCCUCCACCGGCCUUUGCCCACUGGCCCCCGCCCCUGCUCCUCUGGCCCCUACCGGCAUCUGUUGGACGCUCGCUCUGGGGGUGCUUCUGGGUCCCCAAGUACAGAUGAGGAAACAGUCACCGCCGUGUUGCACGACAGGGACCAGAGCACUAGAAGACUCCAGAACCUUUUCCAGGGCUGCAGCUGCUCAAGCUGAGGGCGAAGGGAGCCGAGGGCCAGACCCCAAGAGGCCCCGCAUCCUCUGUCCCUCUGAAGCUGCGUGAGGCUGUUUUUCCGCUCGGGUCAAAGGGAUGGGACGGGUGACUCAGGUCCCUGCUGGACCGACUCUCCAUCUGCCCCACCCCUGCCCGGUAACCUGUGACCUCCACCCCCUGCACCAGGGUGUCACGGGGCAGACAAAGAGCAAGACAAGAAGGAAACCUUUGCCAUAGGACACGCCAUCGAGGACCAGAGCCCCGUCACCACGAGGAAGCCCGGCCCGUCCCGAUGGAUGAGGCCCAACCAGGACCCAGGACAUCCCGGGUCCCUCACCCCCUGCCCCGCAGGGUCACAUGCUCCCUGCCCCUUCCCGGAAUGCCCGCGGCCCCACCUCCUGCGAGUACACCUCUCCUCCAGGCAGUCUGCCCUGUUUGCUUCUCACAGUCCCUGGGCUGGCUCCUCCUCUGGCUUCAGGGACCUGGCGCAACUGCACGUCCUGGCAGUGACAAGGCUUUGACGCAAAUAAAAGGAACUCGGAGAAGCUAAGGAAAGAGGGCAGCCUGAGGAGUGUGAACGGAUGACAGAGAGCUGGCCCCAAGCUGUGCUGGUCAGGUGCUCAGAUGCAGCGCAGUCUCGGGUUUGCACACCUGCCCGUGUUCAUCGUCACAGUCUCGUAUGAAUAUGACAAGCCCAACGGUCACGAGGGAACCAGACACCCCCCGCCCCGGGAGAUAUCAGCCAGUGGGUUUCAGGGCUGACCAACCAGAUGCCACCUGGGUCCCAUUAGAAGAGGGACGGUGUCCCAGAGGAGGGAAGUGAUAACCCCACACACACCGGCCGGAAUGUGCUUGUGAGACUGAAGGAGAAUGUUCCAGAAGGUGGGUGUUGGCUAAGCAGGGCGUAUGCCCAAGGCAGAUAGUCGGGGAGGGUGGGACAGACACCUAUCGCUCUCGGGGGAGGGUCUCUGCGGGUUUGGGGUGGCCGAGAAUGUCCGCAGCCCCCAGGCUCUUGCAGGGCACGGACCCAGCUUCCAGCAGCACCGGGGCUGUCCGGGUGGCCUGGCCUGCACGUGUCAUGGCCACCCGGUGUGCCCCACGCCUGCCGCCCUGGGGAGCCUGCCGCCCUAGCCUGCUGGCAGGGGGACCUACAGGGGCCCUGCUGCCCGCCCCAGGUCCCAGCGUUUCUGCAAGAACAGCCAAAUCCCUGAUUUAUCAGCUCAGCUUUAUCUCCAAAACCUCCUACAAUUUCCCAGAGAACAAAAUUAAAUACAGGAUUUAGGAGAGAUUUUGCAUCUGCCCAAGCGGGGCCAGGAGCUUGCUGACGUAGGGGGGCCAGUGCCCGGGGCUGCAGGGGGGCAAGGGGGCACCCAGUCCUAGCUGCCGGGUCUCUGGGGGCUCAGCGGCCUGAGCGAGGAUGCUGGGUGGGCAGGGCUUGGUGGGGCAGUGUCCCCAGGGUCCCCGUGCCCUGGCUGGGGUGCGUGCACACCUGACCCCGUCACAUGCAGUACAGGAUUUCACUUGGCCCCCAGCACCCAGCUGGUUUGCAGCCGAGGGCACCCAGGUCCUGGCCCUCAGACCGCAGGAGGGGAGGGGGCAGAGUGCUCUCCGACCCCAGGGACCUGGCCCGAGGAGCAGGCAGGCAGGUGAGGGCAGCCAGGGAGGUGCAGGUGGACCCCGGAACCCAGGGCUUGGGGAGCCUCCCGGGUUGACACUGACCGUGUCCUCAGACGCCCACGUGGGGAGCCGGUAGGGGAGCUGUGCACCCCACCCCCGCUGGCUGUGGGCGCCCCCGCGCAGGCGUCGGGGCGGAGCAGCCCCGCUCUGAGCUCUGAGCCACUUCUAUGCUAAGAGGCUCCAGAAACAUCAUCUGCAGAUGCUUUUGUGGGUAAUCGAGCCGAUUAGGGGCAUGUGGGCACCAGAUAAGAGGCUGGAGAAUCACUUGGAGGGCAGCCUCGGAGGACGGUGGAGGGCGGGCUGUCUCCUGCUCCCUGUGCCCGGCACCCCCCCUCGUCCUACCCCACAGAGCUGUCCG